AGUAGUAAGCAUACCAAACAUAACAGACGAAGCGAGGCGAGCCAGUGUGUGGGAAAAUGUGCACAAAUUGACUUCAAAAAGAGCUUUCAUCAAACUUUUAUACAAACAAAAAUGAAAAUGUCGCCAAACUGACCCACUUCCGCACAUAAAAAGUCACAAAAGUGCAAAAGACUACUGAAUGUGUUAUGAAAUACGACAAUCUAACUCGCCAGCUGAAGAAGCAGAAUCGUGUGCUUCGCUCGCGUUGAGCCUCAGUGAAGAGAGAAAUGGGAAGGGGUUGCGGGGGGCGCUGGCGCCUCUCUCAGCUACAAUCGGGCGGAAGGUGGGGUACACCCUGGACAAGUCGCCACCUCAUCACAGAUUUUCCGAACAAUAAGCCACUACUUUUUUCCAAUGCUUUGGACCCUGUGGCUUAUAAAACUUUUUUUUUAAAAGUGUAUGUAUUUUUUUUUCCACUAACAGCCAUAAUGUUUUGCAUUCAACAAAUAGUUUUCAUAAAAAAACUGGCAAAAACACUGAGUAAUAAGUGCUAUUUUUUGUGCUAUGGUGCCAUCUUUUGGACAAGUUCACUAACUCCAAAUGCUGCGAGUUGAAAAACUACUUCCUGUUUUGUGUCUUGAACCAGAAGUUCAUCCUGUUUCGUCAACUUUUUGUCUGCAGGGUUUCUACUCGAAAGGGUUCUUUUCAUUGAUCGCUCCAAGAAAUGUUUGUAAGUUUUACAAAUAUCUAAAACAAUUCUUACCUACGAAACCAUCCAAUAUAUGAUGCUUUUCUUGAAUUCACCAAAAUGUCCCCGUGGAGUUAUUGAGUCUGUUUAGAUGAUUGGAGAGCGAGAUUCCGCAGCUAGUGGGUCCAUGACGAUGACUUCUGUUUUGUUUGAUCAACAGUUUUACAGCCACCGGUUG